rnacentral:rRNA from 1 species
AGGUGAUAUAUUGAAAAAUGGUAUAUGUUAUUAAUAUUAUUUUAAGAAUUUCGAAUCAAUAUUCUCCUUUAGGAGGUAUAAAUCAAAUAAGAUUUAUAUAAAUAGAAAUGAUAAAAAGAUAAGAAUCAAUCAUAAUCAUGAAAAUGAGAGAAAAUAAAACAAGUGGAAUGAAACAUCUGAGUAACUUGUUAAAUAACCAACAGGGAUUAUAUAAGUAACGGUGAGUGAAAGUAUAAAAAUCUUAAAGUAUUGCCAAGAGGUAAGAAGAGAGUAGUUUCCAACUACUAAGAAAUAAAAUUUAAUAUUAGAUUAAAGUACCGCAAGGGAAAGAAAGUAAAUAGAAUAAUAAAGAGCAGUUAUAGUAUAACGUACCUUUUGUAUAAUGGGCCAGUGAGUUAUAUAUUUUAGUGAAAUAUAAAAAUUAUAUAUAAAUAGAUAUAUAAAUUAAAGUAUAUAGGCCCGAAAGCAAACGAUCUACACAUGUCCAAGUGUAUAUAAUUAUUCAUUUCCUUUGGAGAUGAUACUUUUAAUAAGUUUAUAUAUGACUCAAUAGGUAAUUGUAGCAAUAAUUUCUAAAGAGGUGUGUGUAGCUGUGACAGACAAAUCUGGUUUGCAGAUAGCUGGUUUUCUGCGAAAUAUAUUUUAGUAUAGCCUUUAUAUUUAUUUAAACUGGUACAGCACUUAAAUACCUUUGGGGAAUUAGAAUAUAAUUUUAUCAAAAUAUUUAAACCUCGGAAUCAGUUAAUAAUAAAUCUAUAUGAUUUAGAUAUAAGGAGUCAGACUUAUUGCGAUAAGGUAGUAGGUCGAGAAGGAAACAACCUAGACUAUUAAAUGAAUGUCCCAAAUAUUAAUUAAGUGAACAAAAUCUAUCCUACUUUUAUAUUUUUUAUAUAAAAGUUAAGAUCUUAUUUUAAUUUUAAGAUCUUACAUUAAAUUAUAGACAAUUAGUAAGUGGGUUUGACAAUAAUCAACUUUUAAUGAACAUGUAACAAUGCACUAAUUUUAUAUAUAUAUUUCUAAUUUUAGAUUUUAUAUUUAUUAAUAAUAGAGAAAAUAUAUCGGGUCUAAAUUAAUAACAGUAUUAUAGUUAUAAUAAAUAUCGAUUUAAUCGAUUAUAUAUUAUAAGGUAGCAGAAUAUAUAAUAAAAAAUUAUAAAGAGAUUGCUGGCUUGAGUAACGAUAGAUAAUAUAAGAUUAUCCCCUUAUUCAUAAGGUUUUACUAUAAACGAACGGUCCCUAAGAUUAAUAUAGAAAUAUAUAAUUAAUGGGUGAAAGAACAAGAAAAUAAAAAUGAACCGUACUGUAGACCGACACAGGUAUGAUUAAAAGGGAAUGGGAUAACUACUUUGAAUGAACUCGGCAAAAUAAAUCGUGCGACUGUUUACCAAAAACAUAGCUUAUUGCAUACUAGUAAUAGUAAGUAUAAUAAGUGAUAUCUGCCCGGUGUUUGUUCCAUAAAUAUUAUUAUUUAAUAGAUAAUUUUAUAAAAAACAGAUAAACGGCGGUCUUAUUGUGAGGAUCCGAAGGUAGCGAAAUUCAUUGACGUAUAAUUGACGUCCUGCAUGAAUGAAUAUACGAUGCGAUAACUGUAUCCAAAGUAGACCCAGUGAAAUAGCAAUUGCGGUGAAGAUGCCGUAUAUCCGUAGGUUGACAAAAAGACCCUAUGCAGCUUUACUAUAUCUUUAUUUUGAUUUUCUCCUUUUUUAGGAGUACUUUUUUCAUUUAUUUCAGUAGAUUAGGUUAUAUUUAUAUUUUAAAUCAAAUGAGAUACCUAUAUAAUUGAAAAAAGAAUCUAAUUAAUUUUGUUAAUUUACCGGCUAAGCCGGAUAUAACUUAAGUUUAUACUUAUUUAAGAAAGAGUAAAGAGGUUAGUUUCGAUGGGGCGUCGACAUCAGCGAAAGCAUCUGAUGUGUCUAAUAACAAAGAUCUUGUAUUACAAGACUAAAUGUUUAAUUAAAUUUUUUAUUUAAUAGUAAAUUACGUACAAUAUUUCUAUAUGGUAAAUAGAAUAAGCCCAGAUUUAUCUGAUUGGCUAUAUAAUUAUAAGUAAGGAUAACAACAUAAUUGUGCGAUGAUAAUAACACUAACAAGUGGAAUUAGUACUUACGUAGAGUGUAGUGAACAGGCAUAAACAAAUGGUAUGGAUGUCGAUAACGGAUUAAAGUUACGCUAGGGAUUAAAUGUUAGUUCCUUUAUAUAGAAAUAUAUAUUAUCUCCGCGAUAGUGAGAUAGCCCUCUAUAGAGGGUAUAUAAAUUGGGUGAAUUACAAAGAACUCUUUAUUUACAUAAAGACAAUUUGUAGCGAAGCAUAUAUAAGUUUUUAAUUAAAUAUAUGAACGUUCAACGACUAGUAAUUGAGUAAACUAACAAUAAUAUUACCAAGAGUGCCCAAUACCUUAUUUAUAUAAUUUAUGAUAUAUAAGUUAUAGAUAAUAAAAAAUUAAAUAUAAAUAAAGGUAAAGACAUAGUCUGAACUAUAUAGUGAUAUAUAGAAGUUGUAAUUAAAAAAGCAACGAUAACAAAAUUGAACAGGGUAAUACCGCGUGAGAGUUGAUAUCGUCAGCGGUGUUUGCCACCUCGAUUAAUAAUGAUAGUCGAGUAUAAAUAGGUUUAAUUGCAAGAAGUCUAAGGAUUUAUCUAUGAUCAUUUGCAGCGAAUUAUUAUUUAUAUGAAUAAUAUGUUUAUAUUAUAAGAAUAAUAAACGUUCAACGACUAGUAGGUGAGUACAUAUAACAAUAUCCUACCAAGAAAUACCUAUAAAAUUUUUAAUUUAUAUAGUCUGCAGCAUCGUUGCAGGCAGAUUUUAUUAUAUAUACCCGCUUCGCGGGUAUUAUUUAUACUUCCUUUAGGAAGUUUCAGUGUAUAUACGGUUUAUCCGUAUUUUUUAUUUAUUUCGGAGGGUUAAAAAAUUUUAAAAGUUAUGUACAAAAAUGGUAUACAUAUAUUGUCAAAAGAAUGACAAACAUGAAAGUUAAAUCAGCCAGAUUUAACACAAAAACAAUUAAAUAUAUUAAUUGGUAUGAUUUUAAGUGAUGCUUGUAUUAUAAAAGAUAAUAAAUAUCCUUAUAUUAAAUUUGAGCAAGGAUAUAAACAAUUAGAAUUUAUACAAAUUUUAUUUGAUAUAUUUAAAACUCAUACUUUUAGUGAUAAAAUUAGUAUAAGAAAUAAAAAAAAUAAUAAAGAUAUAAUACAUAGUUAUUGAUUUAAAACUUUUUCUCAUCCAACAUUUGAAUUAAUAUAUAAUCUAUUCUAUAUUUCUUCUUCAGGAGAAAAAACAAAAAAAAAAUAAUUAAACCAAAUUUAAUUAUUGAUUAUGUAAAUGAAGAAUCAUUAGCUUAUUGAAUAAUGGGAGAUGGAACUUUACAUAAAAGAGAUAAAAUAUAUAGUUUACAUACAGAAGGUUUUACCUUUGAUGAAUGUAAAAUUUUAUCAGAUGAAUUAAAUUUAAAAUUUAAUUUAAAUAGUUGUGUUAGAAUAUCUAGAAAAACUAAUACAAAAAUAUUAUAUAAAUUAGUCUUUACAGUUAAUAAUACUAAAUUAAUUAGUAAACUAAUUAAACCAUAUAUAAUAAAAUCUUUUGAAUAUAAAAUUAUAUAAAUUAAAAAUUUUAAAGACAUAGUCUGAACAAUAAUGAAAAUUAUUGAAGUUAACAAUUAAAAACGUUAAUGAUAACAAAAUUGGUCGUCUAGACUCGUCCUCCUGGUCGCAGCAACUAGGUAGGGUAGGACUGUUCGUCCUCUAAGGAGUUACUUGAGAUGGGUUAAUUACGACGUGAGUCAGUAAUGAUUUUAUCAUCUAUGGAUUUUUUUCUUAUCUGUUGCCUUAAGUGUACGCAAGGAUAAUAAGGUACAUUCCUAUGGUUAAUAUUUUAAUUAGCUAAGAAUGUUGUGUUUACAUAUUGAAUGCAUAUCAAAUAUUAAAUCCUUCAGAUAAGUUUAUGCAUUAUAGACUAUAAUGUAUUAGUUAAUUUGUUUUAAUAGCGAAUAAACUAAAUUGAUAUAUAAAUUUUUCAUUUUUAUGAAAUUUUUAUUAAAAACAUAUACCU